UACGUAGGGGGCAAGCGUUGUCCGGAAUUAUUGGGCGUAAAGAGCGUGUAGGCGGUCCGGUAAGUCAGCUGUGAAAGUCAAGGGCUCAACCCUUGAAUGCCGGUUGAUACUGUCGGGCUAGAGUCCGGAAGAGGCGAGUGGAAUUCCCGGUGUAGCGGUGAAAUGCGCAGAUAUCGGGAGGAACACCAGUGGCGAAGGCGGUUGCCUGGAGCUUUGCUGACGCUGAGGCGCGAAAGCGUGGGGAGCGAUCCGG
rnacentral:rRNA from 1 species